rnacentral:rRNA from 1 species
AUUGAACGCUGGCGGCAUGCCUUACACAUGCAAGUCGAACGGCAGCACGGGUGCUUGCACCUGGUGGCGAGUGGCGAACGGGUGAGUAAUACAUCGGAACAUGUCCUGUAGUGGGGAAUAGCCCGGCGAAAGCCGGAUUAAUACCGCAUACGAUCUACGGAUGAAAGCGGGGGACCUUCGGGCCUCGCGCUAUAGGGUUGGCCGAUGGCUGAUUAGCUAGUUGGUGGGGUAAAGGCCUACCAAGGCGACGAUCAGUAGCUGGUCUGAGAGGACGACCAGCCACACUGGGACUGAGAUACGGCCCAGACUCCUACGGGAGGCAGCAGUGGGGAAUUUUGGACAAUGGGCGAAAGCCUGAUCCAGCAAUGCCGCGUGUGUGAAGAAGGCCUUCGGGUUGUAAAGCACUUUUGUCCGGAAAGAAAUCCUUGGCCCUAAUACGGUCGGGGGAUGACGGUACCGGAAGAAUAAGCACCGGCUAACUACGUG